GACGAACGCUGGCGGCGUGCUUAAUACAUGCAAGUCGAACGGUGAUGCUCCAGCUUUCUGGCGUGGAUCAGUGGCGAACGGGUGAGUAACACGUGAGCAACCUGCCCCUGACUCUGGAAUAAACGCUGGAGACGGCGUCGCAUACUGCAUACGAAAUUUUCAAGCGUGUGCAUGGUUUGGAAAGUACUUCGGUUUGGGAUGGUCUCGCGGCAUACCAGCUUCUUGGUGAGGUUAUGGCUCUCCAAGCUGACGACGGGUAGCCGGCAUGAGAGGGCGACCGGCCACACUGGGACUGAGACACGGCCCAGACGCCUACGGGAGGCAGCAGUGGGGAAUAUUGCGCAAUGGGCGAAAGCCUGAUGCAGCGACGCCGCGUGAGGGAUGACGGCCUUCGGGUUGUAAACCUCUUUCAGCAGGGAAGAAGCGAAAGUGACGGUACCUGCAGAAGAAGCACCGGCUAACUACGUG
rnacentral:rRNA from 1 species